rnacentral:snoRNA from 1 species
AUUCCAUGAUGAGGACAUCCUAGGAUGUAAUCUUGAAAGCGCUCCCAAGCCUCUGGGACCGUCUCAUCAUUAUGUUGCUGAAAACUUGAAAUUUUCCCACACAGAGC